AUCAGUAAUGAUGGGUAGGGGAGCUUCCCAUACGGGUUGAAGCAUGACCGUAAGGACAUGUGGACAGUAUGGGAGUGAGAAUGUUGGCAUGAGUAGCGAGAUGUGGGUGAGAAUCCCACAGGCCGUAAACCCAAGGUUUCCAGGGGAAGGUUCGUCCGCCCUGGGUUAGUCGGGACCUAAGCUGAGGCCGAAAGGCGUAGGUGAUGGACAACAGGUUGAUAUUCCUGUACCACCGGUAACCGUUUGAGAGAAGGGAUGACACAGUAGGAUAAGCUAAGCACACUGUUGGUUAUGUGUGCCCAAGCAUUGAGGCAGUCAAAGUAGGCAAAUCCGCUUUGAUAAUGCUGGGAUGUGAUGGGGAGCGAAAUUUAGUAGCGAAGUAGCUGAUUUCACACUGUCAAGAAAAGUCUCUAUCGAGGUUAAAGGUACCCGUACCGCAAACCGACACAGGUGGGUGAGGAGAGUAUCCUAAGGCCAGCGAGAGAACUGUUGUUAAGGAACUCGGCAAAAUGACCCCGUAACUUAGGGAUAAGGGGUGCCACCAUCAGGUGGCCGCAGAGAAUAGGCCCAAGCGACUGUUUACCAAAAACAUAGGUUUCUGCUAAGUCGCAAGACGAUGUAUAGGAGCUGACGCCUGCCCGGUGCUGGAAGGUUAAGGGGAUCUGUUAGAGCAAUCGAAGCAGUGAACUUAAGCCCCAGUAAACGGCGGCCGUAACUAUAACGGUCCUAAGGUAGCGAAAUUCCUUGUCGGGUAAGUUCCGACCCGCACGAAAGGCGUAACGAUUUGGGCACUGUCUCAACAACAGAGUCGGUGAAAUUGUAAUUCCGGUGAAGAUGCCGGAUACCUGCGACAGGACGGAAAGACCCCAUGGAGCUUUACUGUAGCUUGACAUUGGGUCUUGGUACUACAUGUACAGGAUAGGUGGGAGGCUUUGAAACCAGGACGCCAGUUUUGGCGGAGCCAUCCUUGGGAUACCACCCUUGUAGUACUGGGACUCUAACCAUAGGCCAUGAAUCUGGUCUUGGGACACUGUCAGGUGGGCAGUUUGACUGGGGCGGUCGCCUCCCAAAAGGUAACGGAGGCGCUCAAAGGUUCUCUCAGUACGGUCGGAAAUCGUACGUAGAGUGUAAAGGCAAAAGAGAGCUUGAUUGCAAGACAUACAGGUCGAGCAAGGAUGAAAAUCGGACUUAGUGAUCCGGUGGUUCUGCGUGGAAGGGCCAUCGCUCAACGGAUAAAAGCUACCCUGGGGAUAACAGGCUUAUCUCCCCCAAGAGUCCACAUCGACGGGGAGGUUUGGCACCUCGAUGUCGGCUCAUCACAUCCUGGGGCUGUAGUAGGUCCCAAGGGUUGGGCUGUUCGCCCAUUAAAGUGGUACGCGAGCUGGGUUCAGAACGUCGUGAGACAGUUCGGUCCCUAUCCGUCGCAGGCGUAGGAAAUUUGAGAAGACCUGUCCUUAGUACGAGAGGACCGGGAUGGACGUACCUCUGGUGUACCAGUUGUCCUGCCAAGGGCAUGGCUGGGUAGCUAUGUACGGAAUGGAUAAGCGCUGAAAGCAUCUAAGCGCGAAGCCAACUUCAAGAUAAGAUUUCCCACCGCAAGGGUAAGACCCCAGAAAGACUAUCUGGUUGAUAGGUCGAAGGUGUAAGUGCAGCAAUGUAUUUAGCUUAUCGAUACUAAUAGGUCGAGGACUUGACCAA
rnacentral:rRNA from 1 species